rnacentral:rRNA from 1 species
AGUGAACGCUGGCGGCAGGCCUAACACAUGCAAGUCGAGCGGCAGCGCGGGGGCAACCCUGGCGGCGAGCGGCGGACGGGUGAGGAAUUCGUCGGAAUCUGCCUUUUUGUGGGGGAUAACGUAGGGAAACUUACGCUAAUACCGCAUACGUCCUACGGGAGAAAGUGGGGGACCGCAAGGCCUCACGCAGAAAGAUGAUCCGACGACCGAUUAGCUAGUUGGUGGGGUAAAGGCCCACCAAGGCGACGAUCGGUAGCUGGUCUGAGAGGAUGAUCAGCCACACUGGGACUGAGACACGGCCCAGACUCCUACGGGAGGCAGCAGUGGGGAAUAUUGGACAAUGGGCGCAAGCCUGAUCCAGCCAUGCCGCGUGUGUGAAGAAGGCCUUCGGGUUGUAAAGCACUUUUGUCCGGAAAGAAAUCCCUGGAGCUAAUACCUUCGGGGGAUGACGGUACCGGAAGAAUAAGCACCGGCUAACUUCGUG